GAUUGAACGCUGGCGGCAGGCCUAACACAUGCAAGUCGAACGGUAACAGGAAGAAGCUUGCUUCUUUGCUGACGAGUGGCGGACGGGUGAGUAAUGUCUGGGAAACUGCCUGAUGGAGGGGGAUAACUACUGGAAACGGUAGCUAAUACCGCAUAACGUCGCAAGACCAAAGAGGGGGACCUUCGGGCCUCUUGCCAUCGGAUGUGCCCAGAUGGGAUUAGCUUGUUGGUGGGGUAACGGCUCACCAAGGCGACGAUCCCUAGCUGGUCUGAGAGGAUGACCAGCCACACUGGAACUGAGACACGGUCCAGACUCCUACGGGAGGCAGCAGUGGGGAAUAUUGCACAAUGGGCGCAAGCCUGAUGCAGCCAUGCCGCGUGUAUGAAGAAGGCCUUCGGGUUGUAAAGUACUUUCAGCGGGGAGGAAGGGAGUAAAGUUAAUACCUUUGCUCAUUGACGUUACCCGCAGAAGAAGCACCGGCUA
rnacentral:rRNA from 1 species